UCCCUGGAGGACUAGUGGUUAGGCCACAGUUCUUUCACUGAUGUGGCCCGGGUUCGAUUCCCAGCCAGGAAA